UGGGGAUAUUGCACAAUGGGCGCAAGCCUGAUGCAGCGACGCCGCGUGAGGGAUGACGGCUUNNGGGUUGUAACCUCUUCGCUCUGAACAAGGCCCUGCUUGUUGGUGGGGUUGAGGUAGGUGGAUAAGAAGCGCCGGCUAACUACGUGCCAGCAGCCGCGGUAAUACGUAGGGCGCGAGCGUUGUCCGGAAUUAUUGGGCGUAAAGAGCUCGUAGGCGGCUUGUCGCGUCUGCUGUGAAAACGCGGGGCUUAACUCCGCGCGUGCAGUGGGUACGGGCAGGCUAGAGUGUGGUAGGGGUGAUUGGAAUUCCUGGUGUAGCGGUGGAAUGCGCAGAUAUCAGGAGGAACACCGAUGGCGAAGGCAGGUCACUGGGCCAUUACUGACGCUGAGGAGCGAAAGNGCAU
rnacentral:rRNA from 1 species